rnacentral:rRNA from 1 species
GACGAACGCUGGCGGCGUGCUUAACACAUGCAAGUCGAACGGGAGGAAAAGAGAAGCUUGCUUCUUUUGAAUCUAGUGGCAAACGGGUGAGUAACACGUAAACAACCUGCCUUCAGGAUGGGGACAACAGACGGAAACGACUGCUAAUACCGAAUGUGUUCCGGAGACCGCAUGAUUUCCGGAAGAAAGGAUGGCCUCUAUUUAUAAGCUAUCGCCUGAAGAGGGGUUUGCGUCUGAUUAGGCAGUUGGUGAGGUAACGGCCCACCAAACCUACGAUCAGUAGCCGGUCUGAGAGGAUGAACGGCCACACUGGAACUGAGACACGGUCCAGACUCCUACGGGAGGCAGCAGUGGGGAAUCUUCCGCAAUAGACGAAAGUCUGACGGAGCAACGCCGCGUGAGUGAUGACGGCCUCGGUGUAAAGCGUCUGUGAUCGGGACGAAUGGCUGGUAUGCUAAUACCAUAUCAGAGUGACGGUACCCGAACUAGCAAGCCACGG